rnacentral:rRNA from 1 species
GUGGGGAAUAUUGGACAAUGGGCGAAAGCCUGAUCCAGCCAUGCCGCGUGUGUGAAGAAGGUCUUCGGAUUGUAAAGCACUUUAAGUUGAGAGGAAGGGCAGUAAGUUAAUACCUUGCUGUUUUGACGUUACCAACAGAAUAAGCACCGGCUAACUUCGUGCCAGCAGCCGCGGUAAUACGAAGGGUGCAAGCGUUAAUCGGAAUUACUGGGCGUAAAGCGCGCGUAGGUGGUUCAGCAAGUUGAAGGUGAAAUCCCCGGGCUCAACCUGGGAACUGCCUCCAAAACUACUGAGCUAGAGUACGGUAGAGGGUAGUGGAAUUUCCUGUGUAGCGGUGAAAUGCGUAGAUAUAGGAAGGAACACCAGUGGCGAAGGCGACUACCUGGACUGAUACUGACACUGAGGUGCGAAAGCGUGGGGAGCAAACAGGAUUAGAUACCCCUGUAGUCC